rnacentral:rRNA from 1 species
GGAGGGCGCAAGCGUUGUUCGGAAUCACUGGGCGUAAAGCGCGUGCAGGCGGCUUGGUAAGUCGGGUGUGAAAUCCCGGAGCUCAACUCCGGAACUGCACCCGAUACUGCCUCGCUAGAGUCCCGGAGAGGAUGGCGGAAUUUCCGGUGUAGAGGUGAAAUUCGUAGAUAUCGGAAGGAACACCAGCGGCGAAGGCGGCCAUCUGGACGGUGACUGACGCUCAGACGCGAAAGCGUGGGGAGCAAACAGGAUUAGAUACCCUGGUAGUCCACGCUGUAAACGUUGGGUGCUAGGCGUCGUGGGUAUUGACCCCCGCGGUGCCGAAGCUAACGCAUUAAGCACCCCGCCUGGGGAGUACGGUCGCAAGACUA